rnacentral:rRNA from 1 species
GACGAACGCUGGCGGCGUGCUUAACACAUGCAAGUCGAACGGAAAGGCCCUGCUUUUGUGGGGUGCUCGAGUGGCGAACGGGUGAGUAACACGUGAGUAACCUGCCCUUGACUUUGGGAUAACUUCAGGAAACUGGGGCUAAUACCGGAUAGGAGCUCCUGCUGCAUGGUGGGGGUUGGAAAGUUUCGGCGGUUGGGGAUGGACUUGCGGCUUAUCAGCUUGUUGGUGGGGUAGUGGCUUACCAAGGCUUUGACGGGUAGCCGGCCUGAGAGGGUGACCGGCCACAUUGGGACUGAGAUACGGCCCAGACUCCUACGGGAGGCAGCAGUGGGGAAUAUUGCACAAUGGGCGGAAGCCUGAUGCAGCAACGCCGCGUGCGGGAUAACGGCCUUCGGGUUGUAAACCGCUUUCGCCUGUGACGAAGCGUGAGUGACGGUAAUGGGUAAAGAAGCACCGGCUAACUACGU